GCCCCUAUCGUAUAACGGUUUAGUACAGCGGUCUCAUAUGAUUUGAGGGUACCCAAGGUACCCAGCGAUCCGCAAAUCUGAGUUCGAUUCUCAGUGGAGGCA